GGAGAACGCUGGCGGCGUGCCUAAUACAUGCAAGCUCGAGCGGUAAGGCUCUGCACCUGUUAUUUGAUCGGGAUUUAUCCUAGGCUUUCUUUGGCUAAAGAGAGUAACAGAUCGAAUAAUGUGUGUAGAGUACACGAGCGGCGGACGGCUGAGUAACACGUAGGAACGUACCCCAAACUGAGGGAUAAGCACCAGAAAUGGUGUCUAAUACCGCAUGUGCUCUUCGGAGUAAAGCUACGGCGGUUUGGGAACGGCCUGCGCAUGAUUAGCUUGUUGGUGAGGUAAAAGCUCACCAAGGCGACGAUCAUUAGCUGGUCUGAGAGGAUGAUCAGCCAGACUGGGACUGAGAACGGCCCAGACUCCUACGGGAGGCAGCAGUAGGGAAUUUUCCACAAUGGGCGAAAGCCUGAUGGAGCAACGCCGCGUGCAGGAUGAAUGCCUUCGGGUUGUAAACUGCUUUUAUAUGUGACGAAUAUGACGGUAGCAUAUGAAUAAGGAUCGGCUAACUCCGUGCCAGCCGCCG
rnacentral:rRNA from 1 species